CAACAAGGACUUUUUCAAGCUGAGGCAGCAGUGUGUUUGCAUAUUGAACAUGAUCUGGAUGAGAGAUAUAGUCGGCAAUGCCUUGCGUGCUCUCAAAUGUUGAUUCGAAGAUAUGAGUGUAACCCUCAUUCAAGUUCUCUAUGCUCACAUCUUUACCCCUGUCAGUCAGUCACUCACACCACAACAAAUUCUAAUUAACAUUCAUAUUAAUCCGAACAAAUUAUCACAUUAGAAAUAACAAAAGGAAAUUAAUUAUCUCGAAAUGGAAACUCGGUAAGAAUAAUAACUAUGUUAAGGGAUGGAUAAGCAGACCAUCACAGGUGAAGAUCCUCAUAAGAAGUUGUCCUAUAAUUAAUUAUAGAGAGUCAUCAACCACAAAAGGACAAACUUGAGUGAUGAAUGAGCAUUAAAGUGCAGUUUCAAAUGCAACUUUAUCUCAUCAAAUCAAUUAGCAAUUAGCAAUUAGCAAUUAGCAAUAGAAAACCUCAAUAAGAAGAAUGGAUGGUUGGUUGGAAGAUAUAUCCCAUUGUUCAGAAAUGGAUCCAUCAUCGUGGUCCAACAUUAUUAAGGAACAAUCAACACACCACACAAACAUAAUCUUACUCGAAUUGAUCAGCAGCAAAUGUAGAGAAAAUAAAAAAAAAAAUGGAUCUUGAGUGAAGAAAUGAGAAGAGAGGGUAGGGUACUACCAUGAGAAGGACUUCAUAGAAGGAACAAGAUUGACAAGAUUGGCGUAUUGUUUGAUGUAUUCUUCAAUUUGAUCUUCAGUAAUUCCUUGUUUGAAUUUUGCGAGUAGUAUGUGCUUCACUUCACCCUCCAUUUUGUGAGUGUGUAUUAGAGGUUGGAAAUCUUAUAAUGAAGAUAAGAGUAAUAGCGGUGCAUUAAUAAUAUAGUUUUUUUUUUUUUUUUUUGAUCGGUAAAUGUGAAAUAUAUAGAUCAAAACGGACUUUACAAAUACACUGGGCAUACCCAGGCAGUGUAAUCAAAAAAAUAUAUAACAUUAAUAAUAUAGUUGGUUGGGGCCUGGGGGUAGUCCGUAGUACUAGGGUUUGGGGGUUAAAAACUUUUGUAUCUUUUUGUCUAAAUAAAAGAACAAGAGGGGAUAAAUCUUGUUUUUGUUGCAUCUUCAUAUACAUAAUAUUAUAUUGCAAUUGGUUUUGAUCAUGCAAUAAUCUGUAUUUGGAAUCUGUAAAGUCUCUAAUUAUUCAUUACACAUAACACAGUUGAGUUUGACAGACACCAAAUACAGCAGGACACUCUGUUUCAAACAACAACUUCACUUAUUAUUAAUAAUAAACUCUAAAGGAAAGAAAAAACAAUCUUCAAUCUUGAAUCUUGAAUCUUGAUUGAGGAGGAGGGUAUGGUGUUUGUAACUCAGAGACGGACAGGUGUUGGCUUGUAAUCAACUACAAUGACGUUGUCGAGUUGAGAGAGUAAUAAGGUUGCGUAUUCAACGUGAGAUGGAUGAGAAACAUAUUCAGCAACACCUUGCGUGCUUUCAAAUGUAGAUUCAAACACAUGAGUGAAUCCUUGUUGCAUGUUUUCCUUGCUCAGAUCUUUACCCCUGUACACCAAUCAUCAUCAAUCAUCAAACAUUAGAAUAAUCAUGAAUUUCCAGUAAUUAAUUAAGGAAACAAUAUACAUGAACUAAGGAAAUCCAACAGUAAGAAACAAGAUUGAUGAACACUAAAGCGAUUGAUUGACCAUGAGAAGGCCUUCAUAGAAGGAACAAGAUUGACAAGGUUGGCAUAUUGUUUGAUUGAUUCUUGUAUUUCUUCUUCAGACACACUUUCCUUGAACUUUGCAAGCACUAUGUGCUUCACUUCACCCUCCUCCAUUCUUUUUUCUCUUUAUUUCACUCUCUAUUAUUUGUCUUUUGUAAUAAUAUAUAUGCUUCAUACAUACAUAGUGGAGAUAUUUAGUAAAGGUGUGGGGUAUCUAUCCCCUUAUCUCUUACCACAAGAUCCACAUGUUUUUAUUUCCUUACACCACCAUCCUUUCUCUGUCCAAAUUACAAUGUUAACAUUAAUGUUCUCAUACAUCUCAUCUUCCAACUUUUAAAGCACUCACUAGCUAUAUGUGUUUUACUUUUUGUUCUCUCUCUCUCUCUCUCUCUCUCUCUCUCUCUCUCUCUCUCUCUCUCUCUCUCUCUCUCUCUAUACCAGAGUUAUUUCAAGUGUAACAAAUUGAGUUGUCCCAAGGACAUUAUUUUAGGACAAAUGAUUAAAGUCAACAACACCCUGAAACUAGUACACAAAGCAAGCAUACAUAUAUAGAUGGUACCUGCUCUGCAAAUGAAGUAGAGAGGUGGCGCAUAUCCCAUCUCAGGCGGCCACUCAACUUUAUCCGGGUGGUGACUGUUGACAGUAACCAAUCUGGUGCUGAGGUCUCCCCUCCCUUGUCUUCUCACAGAAGCAAUCUAUUACAUCGUAUAUAUAUAUAUAUAUAUAUAUAUAAUUAAGUAACCAUCCGGAUAAUCAAACAACUGAUCAAUGUUGCUGAAUACUUGGAUAUAUACUAGUUUUGUAUCCCUUGCAUUGAAACCUAGGAUAACUCAAAACACACAGAUUAACAUAGUCCAAACUCCAAUAUAUUAUUGAGUACUCAAACUUCCAUUUCUUGUAGAAAUGCAGCUUUGUCUUGGUUCAGUUUUUUGCAAUUACACGUACAACGCAUUAAUGACAUGAGUAUUUGGCAACAGUACUAGACGUAACAAACAAUCUUGAAACACAUUUGUUUUUAUUGGAAAUGGAAUUAAAAAUAGAAAAAGAACAGUCGUAGGUCUGCAUGCAGGACAUGUUUAUGUGUCGAAUAACAUGUGUUGGAUUCAGAGUUUAACUUUAGUGGGCAUGUAAUCAACAACAAGGACUUUGUCAAGCUGAGGCAGUAGUGUGUUUGCAAAUGCAACAUGAUCCGGAUCCGACAGAUAUUCGGCAAUGCCUUGUGUGCUCGCAAAGGUUGACUCGAACACAUGAGUGAAACCAUCAUUCAAGUUCUCUAUGCUCACAUCUUUACCCCUGUCGUCACUCACACCACAGAAGAUAUAUAACAUGAGAAGAAAUGUGAAGAGAGAGAGUGGAUGGAUUAGAGUAUAGGGUACGUACCAU
rnacentral:lncRNA from 1 species